rnacentral:rRNA from 1 species
GAUGAACGCUGGUGGCGUGCCUAAUACAUGCAAGUCGAGCGAACAGAUAAGGAGCUUGCUCCUUUGACGUUAGCGGCGGACGGGUGAGUAACACGUGGGUAACCUACCUAUAAGACUGGAAUAACUCCGGGAAACCGGGGCUAAUGCAGGAUAACAUGUUGAACCGCAUGGUUCUACAGUGAAAGGCGGCUUUGCUGUCACUUAUAGAUGGACCCGCGCCGUAUUAGCUAGUUGGUGAGGUAACGGCUCACCAAGGCAACGAUACGUAGCCGACCUGAGAGGGUGAUCGGCCACACUGGAACUGAGACACGGUCCAGACUCCUACGGGAGGCAGCAGUAGGGAAUCUUCCGCAAUGGGCGAAAGCCUGACGGAGCAACGCCGCGUGAGUGAUGAAGGUCUUCGGAUCGUAAAACUCUGUUAUUAGGGAAGAACAAAUGCGUAAGUAACUGUGCGCGUCUUGACGGUACCUAAUCAGAAAGCCACGGCUAACCACGUG